UGCAAGUCGAACGAAGUAGCAAUACUUAGUGGCAGACGGGUGAGUAACAUGUGGGUAUCUGCCCUUUGGCCUGGAAUAACACGAGGAAACUCGUGCUAAUACUGGAUGAGUCUUUACGGAGAAAGCUUUAUGCACCAUUGGAUGAGCCCGCACUUGAUUAGUUUGUUGGUGGGGUAAUGGCCUACCAAGACUUUGAUCAAUAGCUGAUUUGAGAGGAUGAUCAGCCACAUUGGGACUGAGACACGGCCCAAACUCCUACGGGAGGCAGCAGUGGGGAAUCUUGCACAAUGGAGGAAACUCUGAUGCAGCGAUGCCGCGUGAGUGAAGAAGGCCCUUGGGUUGUAAAGCUCUUUCGUCGGGGAAGAAAAUGACUGUACCCGAAUAAGAAGGUCCGGCUAACUUCGUGCCAGCAGCCGCGGUAAUACGAAGGGACCUAGCGUAGUUCGGAAUUACUGGGCUUAAAGAGUUCGUAGGUGGUUGAAAAAGUUGGUGGUGAAAUCCCAGAGCUUAACUCUGGAACUGCCAUCAAAACUUUUCAGCUAGAGUUUGAUAGAGGAAAGCAGAAUUUCUAGUGUAGAGGUGAAAUUCGUAGAUAUUAGAAAGAAUACCAAUUGCGAAGGCAGCUUUCUGGAUCAUUACUGACGCUGAGGAACGAAAGCAUGGGUAGCGAAGAGGAUUAGAUACCCUCGUAGUCCAUGCCGUAAACGAUGUGUGUUAGACGUUGGAAAUUUAUUUUCAGUGUCGCAGCGAAAGCGAUAAACACACCGCCUGGGGAGUACGACCGCAAGGUUAAAACUCAAAUGAAUUGACGGGGACCCGCACAAGUAGUGGAGCAUGUGGUUUAAUUCGAAGAUACGCGCAGAACCUUACCAACACUUGACAUGUUCGUCGCAACUUUAAGAGAUUAAAGUUUUCGGUUCGGCCGGACGAAACACAGGUGCUGCAUGGCUG
rnacentral:rRNA from 1 species